rnacentral:rRNA from 1 species
GUGCCAGCAGCCGCGGUAAUACGUAGGGUGCUAGCGUUGUUCGGAAUCAUUGGGCGUAAAGCGCGUGCAGGCUGUUAGUUAAGUCGGAUGUGAAAUCCCUGGGCUCAACCGAGGAAGUGCAUUCGAAACUCACUAGCUAGAAGAUGGUAGAGGAAGGUGGAAUUCCAAGUGUAGAGGUGAAAUUCGUAGAUAUUUGGAGGAAUACCGGUGGCGAAGGCGGCCUUCUGGACCAUUCUUGACGCUGAGACGCGAAAGCGUGGGUAGCAAACAGGAUUAGAUACCCGCGUAGUCC